ACUUUUUCACGACGAUAAAAGGAGAGGAAAUGACCAGCACAAUAGGAAUAUAUCAGCGAUCGUGCGCCUCGCUAUAAAACUGUUCAAGCUCUUGCACAAGUCUUGCGUAUGUACUAUUAACAGAGUGCACUGACCAGAGUGGCCUUUAGUCGGGGACUGCGUCACUGAGUGUCCCAAGAACCGGCACAAGAAAUGAAGCAACCAUCCCUGAUAAUGCUAUUAGUAUUGUUAAUAGCUCUACUAGUAGAAUCGCAAUCACAGAGUGACCGAUACGAGGUCGUCACAGAAGAUAACGAGCUCUCUGGGGAGGAUAAGAGAGCGCAUAUACGGCCGCCGUGUGGCGCCUCGCUUCGCUGCCGACGACGAAGGAGAAGAUAUAGACGACGUGGAUACUCAAAGAAAAGUGGUAUUCCUGCCGGGACCCCUUUCAUGACGUAUGAUGAGCAAGAGGAUCUAGGGUACACCGAAUAAACACGACCUAUUUAACAAAACCAUAUUACCAAGGACUCAAAAACUCAAUCACAACCACACAAACAGUUUUUACCCAUCACAAGAAGACAACAUAUCCGGUAAUAGAAGACCUAGAACAGGGAGGUCGUAACUUAAGAAAUCAACAGGAAACAGAUGUGAAAUGGGUACACUUCCUAAAAUGGCUUUUGCUGUUGGUCCAAACUGCCAUCCGCAUGGAUGACCCUAAAUGAUACAACUAUAAUGUUGUACAAAAUGUAUAUUGAUAGAUAUGAAUAAAGUAUUCCAGCCUUAUAUUGUCAUGGAACUUCAUGUUAUCCUAUAAUUUCAACUUUCCAUUGCCACCAAUACAUCAAGUUCUUGCAUUGUAAUUCCUCUUGAUAUUUUCAUUAUCACCUUUCGCUUUAUAUCAUUCACUCCAUUUUCAUUAAAAUUUUUAUCACUGUACCGGAACCGGAAAUAAUAGUGUAUCGCGCGAUUGCAUAAUAGGCGGUCAGGAGUUUCGCGAGGGACAGUAAUGGCGGCGCCCGCCCACGAGGGUAUUUUGUGUUGUUAAAGGGACCAAAGUGUUUUACCGAGUUAAAGUUUAAAUCCAAGGAUUAUUGUACGAAAAGGACUCGCUUUGGAAUAAAGUUUGGUAUCUCUUUGAU